GAUGAACGCUGGCGGCGUGCCUAAUACAUGCAAGUCGAGCGAACGGACGAGAAGCUUGCUUCUCUGAUGUUAGCGGCGGACGGGUGAGUAACACGUGGAUAACCUACCUAUAAUACUGGGAUAACUUCGGGAAACCGUAGCUAAUACCGGAUAAUAUUCUGCACCGCAUGGUUCAAAAGUGAAAGACGGUCUUUCUGUCACUUAUAGAUGGAUCCGCGCUGCAUUAGCUAGUUGGUAAGGUAACGGCUUACCAAGGCAACGAUGCAUAGCCGACCUGAGAGGGUGAUCGGCCACACUGGAACUGAGACACGGUCCAGACUCCUACGGGAGGCAGCAGUAGGGAAUCUUCCGCAAUGGGCGAAAGCCUGACGGAGCAACGCCGCGUGAGUGAUGAAGGUCUUCGGAUCGUAAAACUCUGUUAUUAGGGAAGAACAUAUGUGUAAGUAACUGUGCACAUCGUGACGGUACCUAAUCAGAAAGCCACGGCUAACUACGUG
rnacentral:rRNA from 1 species